rnacentral:rRNA from 1 species
AUUGAACGCUGGCGGCAGGCCUAACACAUGCAAGUCGAGCGGUAACAGGAAGGAAGCUUGCUUUCUUUGCUGACGAGCGGCGGACGGGUGAGUAAUGCCUGGGAAAUUGCCCUGAUGUGGGGGAUAACCAUUGGAAACGAUGGCUAAUACCGCAUGAUGCCUACGGGCCAAAGAGGGGGACCUUCGGGCCUCUCGCGUCAGGAUAUGCCCAGGUGGGAUUAGCUAGUUGGUGAGGUAAUGGCUCACCAAGGCGACGAUCCCUAGCAGGUCUGAGAGGAUGAUCAGCCACACUGGAACUGAGACACGGUCCAGACUCCUACGGGAGGCAGCAGUGGGGAAUAUUGCACAAUGGGCGCAAGCCUGAUGCAGCCAUGCCGCGUGUAUGAAGAAGGCCUUCGGGUUGUAAAGUACUUUCAGUCGUGAGGAAGGGGGUAUCGCUAAUAGCGGUAUUCUUUGACGUUAGCGACAGAAGAAGCACCGGCUAACUCCGUGCCAGCAGCCGCGGUAAUACGGAGGGUGCGAGCGUUAAUCGGAAUUACUGGGCGUAAAGCGCAUGCAGGUGGUUUGUUAAGUCAGAUGUGAAAGCCCGGGGCUCAACCUCGGAGUUGCAUUUGAAACUGGCANGCUAGAGUACUGUAGAGGGGGGUAGAAUUUNNNGUGUAGCGGUGAAAUGCGUAGAGAUCUGAANGAAUACCNGGUGGCGANGCGGCCCCCUGGACAGAUACUGACACUCNGAUGCGAAGCGUGGGGAGCAAACAGG